UAAACUGCUGCUGCAUGCACACAGCUCA
rnacentral:piRNA from 1 species